CAGCCGCCGCGGUAAUACGGAGGGCGCGAGCGUUAAUCGGAUUUACUGGGCGUAAAGCGUGCGCAGGCGGCCCGUUAAGACAGGUGUGAAAUCCCUGGGCUCAACCUAGGAAUUGCGCUUGUGACUGGCGGGCUCGAGUACGGUAGAGGGGGGUGGAAUUCCUGGUGUAGCAGUGAAAUGCGUAGAGAUCAGGAGGAACACCGAUGGCGAAGGCAGCCCCCUGGGCCUGUACUGACGCUCAUGCACGAAAGCGUGGGGAGCAAACAGGAUUAGAUACCCUGGUAGUCCACGCCCUAAACGAUGGGUACUAGCCGUUUGGUGCGCGAUAGCGCUGAGUGGCGAAGCUAACGCGAGAAGUACCCCGCCUGGGGAGUACGGCCGCAAGGUUGAAACUUAAAGGAAUUGGCGGG
rnacentral:rRNA from 1 species